rnacentral:lncRNA from 1 species
AACUAUCUCAUAUUCGCUUAGCCCUUGGGGUGGGGAGAACCUUAGAGUCUCAAGUCAAAGUCGUGGCCCUGUGUGCUGGUUCUGGGAGCAGCGUUCUGCAGGGUGUUGAGGCUGACCUUUACCUCACAGGUGAGAUGUCCCAUCAUGAUACUUUGGAUGCUGCUUCCCAAGGAAUAAAUGUCAUCCUCUGUGAACACAGCAACACUGAACGAGGCUUUCUUUCUGACCUUCGAGAUAUGCUGGAUUCUCACUUGGAGAAUAAGAUAAAUAUUAUCCUAUCAGAGACUGACAGGGACCCUCUUCAGGUGGUAUAAUUGCAGAAACAUCAGGAUAACACAUUCUACAAAUCAGCUGGAUGCCAACUUAAAUUUGUAACAUGAGUCAGUGGGACUGGUGUGCUUCCAGAGAGUGUCUUCGAGGGUAUCAUCAUUUCCGGUUUGUUAAUCUUAUUCACCAAAUGUUCUAUCGCUCGUAAGGUAAAACUGUAAUAUAACUACCAUAUUAAAUAACAAAUGUUCAUUAUAAACUCUAGGAAAGAUUGAAUAAAAUCUGUUUACUUAACAU